GACGAACGCUGGCGGCGUGCUUAACACAUGCAAGUCGAACGGAAAGGCCCUUUCGGGGGUACUCGAGUGGCGAACGGGUGAGUAACACGUGGGCAACCUGCCCUCGGCUCUGGGAUAACUCCGGGAAACCGGGGCUAAUACUGGAUAUUCACUGCUCAUCGCAUGGUGGGUGGUGGAAAGUUUUUCGGCUGGGGAUGGGCCCGCGGCCUAUCAGCUUGUUGGUGGGGUGAUGGCCUACCAAGGCGACGACGGGUAGCCGGCCUGAGAGGGCGACCGGCCACACUGGGACUGAGACACGGCCCAGACUCCUACGGGAGGCAGCAGUGGGGAAUAUUGCGCAAUGGGCGGAAGCCUGACGCAGCGACGCCGCGUGAGGGAUGACGGCCUUCGGGUUGUAAACCUCUUUCAGCUCUGACGAAGCGAGAGUGACGGUAGGAGCAGAAGAAGCACCGGCCAACUACGUGCCAGCCGCCGCCGUAACAC
rnacentral:rRNA from 1 species